AACAACCGGCGUCGUGCUUGCACCUUUCAGUGAGUGGCGAACGGGUGAGUAACACGUGGACAACCUGCCUCAAGGCUGGGGAUAACAUUUGGAAACAGAUGCUAAUACCGAAUAAAACUUAGUGUCGCAUGACAAAAAGUUAAAAGGCGCUUCGGCGUCACCUAGAGAUGGAUCCGCGGUGCAUUAGUUAGUUGGUGGGGUAAAGGCCUACCAAGACAAUGAUGCAUAGCCGAGUUGAGAGACUGAUCGGCCACAUUGGGACUGAGACACGGCCCAAACUCCUACGGGAGGCUGCAGUAGGGAAUCUUCCACAAUGGGCGAAAGCCUGAUGGAGCAACGCCGCGUGUGUGAUGAAGGCUUUCGGGUCGUAAAGCACUGUUGUAUGGGAAGAACAGCUAGAAUAGGAAAUGAUUUUAGUUUGACGGUACCAUACCAGAAAGGGACGGCUAAAUACGUGCCAGCAGCCGCGGUAAUACGUAUGUCCCGAGCGUUAUCCGGAUUUAUUGGGCGUAAAGCGAGCGCAGACGGUUUAUUAAGUCUGAUGUGAAAGCCCGGAGCUCAACUCCGGAAUGGCAUUGGAAACUGGUUAACUUGAGUGCAGUAGAGGUAAGUGGAACUCCAUGUGUAGCGGGAGG
rnacentral:rRNA from 1 species